UCAGUGUCGGUGUGUGUGUGUAGUGGAUAAACCCAUGUGCACCGACGGAGCGAACACACAUAUAUACGCACAUACAGCAUCCCAGGAACGUCAUGGCAACUUGGUGAGAAGGGGCGGCGCUGUUAUUGCACCGCGGUCGAGACUGGUCGACGCAGCGCGGAUCAGCCGAUUAGACGCUCGCUCUGUCGGACCAGAGUGAACAUGAACCAGCGUCAAAUGCAGGUCCUCCAUCAACCAAAAACGAUGCAGUGACAGUGUGGAUAACCAACAGAGGCCAGAUUUUGGUCCUGGUGAAAGAUGGCGCCGUCUGGGUCGCGCAGUGUCACACGGGGCUGCAAGAGAGUUUUACACUGGAUCCCAGUUUUAUUCAUCGCCGUUAUAGUGGCAUGGUCUUACUACGCUUAUGUUGUCCAGCUUUGCAUCGAGUCUGUUGAAAAUGUUGGGGAGAAACUUGUCUACCUGCUGGCCUAUCACGUGUUCUUCUUCAUGUUUGCGUGGGCAUACUGGCAAACCAUCUUCACCAAGCCCAUGCACCCUUUGAAGGAGUUCCAUCUGUCGUACUGUGAUAAAGAGCUGAUGGACAAGGCGGACAGAGGAGAGUCCCAACAGGAGAUACUCAAAAGGAUCAUCAAGGACUUGCCAGUCUACACACGCACCAUGUCAGGAGCCAUCCGCUUUUGCGACCGUUGCAUUUUGGUGAAGCCUGACCGAUGUCACCACUGUUCAGUCUGUGAUAAGUGCAUCUUGAAAAUGGAUCACCACUGUCCAUGGGUGAAUAACUGUGUGGGCUUCUCCAACUACAAGUAUUUCAUGCUGUUUCUGGCCUACUCUCUGCUCUACUGCCUCUUCAUCACCGCUACAGACCUGCAGUACUUCGUCAAAUUCUGGCUGAGUGGGCUGCCAGACACCCAGGCCAAGUUCCACAUCAUGUUCCUGUUCUUCGCUGCCUCCAUGUUCUCUGUCAGUCUGGCCGCCCUCUUCUCAUACCACUGCUGGCUAGUAUGCAAAAACAGAUCUACUCUGGAGGCUGUUCGAGCUCCUGCAUUCCGUAAUGGGCCUGAUAAAAAUGGCUUCAGCCUGGGCAUCGAAAAGAACUUCCGUCAGGUGUUUGGGGACGAGAUGAAGUACUGGCCAGUUCCAGUGUUCUCAAGCUUGGGAGACGGCUGCUCCUUCCCCACCUGUCUGGUGAACCAGGACCCCGAACAGCCAACCACCUCACCCAGCCACAGCCUACCCAGUACAAGUGUGGAAGAGCCUCAGCAUCAGCACCAGUACGAACAUCAUCAGCAUCCGCAUCCUCAUCCUCCUCACCCCCAUCAUCAGCACCAGCAUCAGCAUCAGCAGCAGUUCCCCGCCAAGCCCCUGCGGGAGUCCCAGAGUCGGCUGCUGAGCAGCAGCGAGUCGUGGCGAGAGGGCCUGAGCGGGGCGGCCGAGCACCGGGAGAGCAGGACUGGUGAGAGGAAAGGCGCAGCAGCCGCAGCAGCAGCAGCAACAGCAGCAGAUGGAGGGCCCAGCGCUGGCAUUACGACUGGCAUUACAGCAACUGGCACUGGCAUUGCCAAUUAUGGAGCCUGUCGGAUAUAGAGAUUAGCUUACACUGAACGGUACACCAAAUCCAGCCAUGACAAUAGAAAAUGAACAUUAGCUGGAAGUGGUGUCAACGUUCUUCACGGAAGAAAAGCUCCUCAUUUACAUAGACAAAACAGGGGAAGCCCUCUGAGCGUCUACGAGGAUGUGUUGUUAUGGCAAUGCUAUGUACUGUAACCCCCAAUCGUUUUGUACACGUUGCUUCAGUGCACAGCGCAUCCUGCCUAAGGGUAGUGUCACUUACCAGAGCGCAUACUGACCACCUUGUCUUCUACUGGCACUAUCAGCGGUGUCUUUAAAGUCAUAACCCUCUGAUAUUUUAAUGAAGCUAUAACUGGACCUUUCUGAGUUUCUCAACGAUGUGAGUUGGGUUGUACGAGUCCCAUGAGUCUCUUGAGAAAAGACGCAAUUGUAUGCGAAAGUGCUUUGAGCACUCGCGAGGAAGUUUUACGACUUGUGUCCUUACAUGAAUCUGAAAAAAAAAAAAUUCCACACAUAACUGCUCUGAAUGGCUAGGAGAGCUAUAUGUUAAUGCAUGAUGUGUGUGUAUUUUUUAAAGUGCUGUAUGUCUCUUUCUAUAAAAAAUUCUAUACAAAUGCUGAGAAGGGCUGGAAAAUGGUCUUAUGAGGGUACCCGGAGGUAACGUUGGUUUCCUCGUGAUGGGAGUGGACUGGUGACUCUUUGAGGAGUAUGGUUGCACACGUGAGUUUAGAAACACUCACAAAUCUGAGAGUACUCAUUAUGUCAAGGAUUUUCAACACAGUUCCAAAGGAAAUAGAAUGCCUGUAAAAAUCGAGAAGGACAGGGUCAAAUGAUUCACUCUUCAAAGAGUUAACAUUAUGAUACCAAGGUUUGCCAGGUGUUUCAGAAGAUGCAAAAAAAAAAGUUAUGUUGUGGUUAUGAGAGCACAGUGGAAUUUUGGAUCGAUUUUCAUGUCUUGCAAAUAAUUCAAAUGGUGUCUGCAAAGCUUCUAUGGCUGUUACCGUUCUCUGUAGCACACCCUAGUUGUCAAACAGGACACAUUGAAUAUGUAAACUGAAAUAGGCAUAGCAGAUGCAAAAUAUGAACAGUACCUUCAUCUUUUUACAUUUUUAAAAAAUGCUGAGGAAUGUAACAUUCCGAUGAUUUUGAAUGUCUUACAAAAGUAUUUGUAAAUCUGUGACUUUAUGACUUGAUACUGUAUGGAGGGCUUUUUAAAUAAUGACAGGUAUGAAAAUGUAUAUGUAAGAAAACGUGAAGGUGCAUGAUAAGAAUCUCCCAAAUUGGUUUACUUUGUGGGUUCUGUAAACAUAAUUAAAACUCUUUUUUGAGUGUUUUUUUUUGUUAUCCGAAGGAGAAGAUAUGCUUAAUCCA